AAUCAUAUUUGAUGCCCGAUGAGGUGAUCUCAUCACGAAUGUUCUUGACAAAGAUAUCACAUUUAACGUAUAUGUGGAUUGUGGUGGCGGUCACCAUGCAGCAGCCGUGCAUUGGCGCUAUUUUUGCAAGAUUUGCAGUUUUCGGUAUGUAUAAAUGGUCUACGAGGAUUCUAGAGCGCAGUCAAGAGUUUGAUACGGUUCGAGUACGUCGCAAACACUCUCCAGAUACGAUGAACACUCACGGUGCGAAUUAUUACGUUCCGAUUGAAAAUGAGUCGUGUACGAAACAGCAUAAUGAUUUUGAUAAACCCCGUUGUAUGCCACGUAUUUUGGGAAGGAGAUUUGCCUUGACAUCUACAGCUUACAAAUAUUUGGAUGUGGGAAUCAACGUGGGACCUAUGUCCUUUGUGGAUAUACUUAUUGGCGAUAAUCGAGGAAAUCAGAUAGUGUUAAGGUGGAAGCACAUAAAAUUACAGGAGCCAUAGGCAGAAUGCAGAAGCCAUAGCGCAUGCGCUGUGGUAUUACUUUAUCUGCCUAUAGCAGAAUGGCAGAUAUCAUAGCGCAUGCGCUAUGGUUUCUGUAUUCUGCCCAUGGCUCCUGGAUUUUCAAUCUACAUAAAAAUACAUAAUGCAUAGCCACAGGCAUAGGCACAUACAUUCUCCUUGUAGUCGGUCCUUCUAGAAAAGUGAUCAAGAACAAAGAACGGAUUUAUAUUGAUUAACACGCUCAGAGCUCCGCGACUAACAAGACGCAAGCAAACUCGAAUCAAGACGCGUCGAAAGCUAAAUCGGCGCAAGAUCCGAAGACGGAUAGCGAGACGUCGUCGAGUCCGAGGCGAUCACCAGAAAUUGUAAUUUAUUGUAAAAUAAACGCAUCUCAUACUUUUCGAAAUGGAUGAUUACGAUUUGUUGUUAAUUGCUCUGGUCAACAUGGGAGCACUUUUGGUGCAACGUCGUAGAAACCGUGAACGUCAUCGUCGCCGCCGCGCCGUCGGCGUGUCUGGGUACGACCAAUUAACACAAGGAGAAGACAGCAAGGAGCGUUUUACAAUCUUUUUCAGGAGAUGAAAACAGAUGAGCAAAUGUUCCACAAGUAUACACGUAUGACACUGCCAACAUUCCAGCACUUGAUGGACAUUGUUAAUCCAAGUUUAAUUAAACGAAGUCCACGGGCACUUGAACCAGAGCAAAGAGUUGCUUUUACAUUGCGAUUUCUGAUUGGAGGCAAAGUUCCAGCAGUUGCUUUUGCCUAUCGUGUUGGUUUAUCAACAGUACAUAAAAUAAUUAAAGAGACGUGUGACGUAUUUGAAAGACUUUCUUGGUCCUAUCUAUCAACGAACUCCUUCAAGAGAAGAAUAUUUACAAAUUGCUGAGGGUUUUUGGACAUUAUGGAAUUUUCCACAUUGCUUGGGGGCAAUUGAUGGAAACCGUGUCAAUGCUCAAUGCCCCCCUAAUUCUGGGAAGAACAGUGAUGCGGGAAUUUAUGGGAACAGCUACUUGAAUGUGACAAAUGAGAUGCUGGAUAUUCCAGAAGAAACCAGUUGCUUAAGCGGAACCGAUAUACAAGUGCCUUAUUUUUUUAUUGGGGAUGAAGCAUUCCCCAUUGGAAAGCAUUUGAUGCGGCCAUAUGCUGGACGGUAUUUGGGGGAACGCAAAAACAUAUUUAAUUAUAGACUUUCGCGAGCCCGGCGUAUAAUAGAAAAUACAUUUGGGAUUUUGGCAAAAAAGUGGGGUAUAUAUAACAGACCGAUCGCUGCGAUUCCUGAAAAUAUCAAUAAAUAUAUUUUGGCAACUGUAUGUUUGCACAAUUUCUUAAGAAACAAAGAAGGUAAUAUUUUACAAUUUGAAAACAAUGAUGAAAUUAUUGAAAAUAACGAAAAUGGUGCAUUUGCGACGCACAUUAAAGACUCUCUUUGCAAUUAUUUUAUGACCCCAAAUGGAAUAGUCAAUUAGCAG